rnacentral:lncRNA from 1 species
CCCUUCAGACUCUUCUUUAAUACUUUCCAAAACCAUACUUUUCUUUAACUUCCAUAACCAACAAAUAACAUUUCUUUAUCUUCUCUUCUCUCUAUUUUCUCUGCCCUCUUUGUACGUAUCACUAUUUCUAAUUUUCUUCUUCUUCAAAUUCGGGAAAAGGAUGAACUAUCCAUUUCUCCCGUUCUUGAAUUUUUGUUUCUAUUGAUAGACACACACAUGGUUUAAAUUUGAAAAAGAGUGAAUUUUCUCUCUUUCAGAUAAUUUUUAUUUUUGUUUCUAAUUACUCUAGAAGGAAGUAAACCAAAGGCACAAUCAGAAGAAACAUGGUUUGUCCAUUUUGCCACAAUGCAUAUUCACUCAAUUUCUACAUAGUUCAUUAUUCUGUUAUAUUACUUUUUCUAUUUCUUUAUCCCAUUAUAUCUCAAUUUCAUUGUUUUUACAUUUUUAAUUUCUUUGCAAAUUUUGUUCAAAUUCCAUGAAGAUAAUUCAUUUAUGAAAAUUGUAUGUGUUACCUUUUCUAUGUUAUAUUAUGAAAUGAGGUCUUAAUGUUGCAUCUGUUCCAGUAAAUUAAUCACUCGCUGAAAGGAUGCUCUUUUUAUUUACUUUUUCUUUUCGCAUUACUUAAUUUUUUCAGUUUGUGGUACAUUGAAAUAGCAAAUAAAAAAAAAUAUAAUAAAAGAGAAAUAUGAGUAAUAGGACCAAAACAAUCGGCAAGGCAACAAUGAAAACUUGAUUUAGCCAGAAUGGAAAACAUUUGAAAGAGGUGUUUUAUAUUGUUUCAAUUGUCUCUUUUUUCAUUGAAAUUUGUUAACAUUCAAUUGUAGGAGGCGAUUCAUUGAAAUUGAAACGCUGCGGCAAACAAUGUCUCACUAUGCUGGCCCUUGAGAAUUUAAGACGACCGGAAUAAAGAAUACAAGAUGGGAAAGGACUUGCCCGCGCUGUAUUGUCAUCAUUUUUGUUUAUUGAGAAGAAAACUACUCCUCUUUCACUCUCUUUAUGUUUCUCAUUAUUUUGUGUGGUUGUUUUCUUUAGGUUUUACAGGUUCUAUGAGUUUGUUUCAAAUUAAAGUUUGUGACUUAUGCCGAUUGCAAGUACUCAAAGUGUAUCUAUUCUUCGCAUA